rnacentral:rRNA from 1 species
UACGUAGGGUGCGAGCGUUAAUCGGAAUUACUGGGCGUAAAGCGUGUGCAGGCGGUCUGUUAAGACAGGUGUGAAAUCCCCGGGCUUAACCUGGGAAUUGCGCUUGUUACUGGCAGACUAGAGUGCGUCAGAGGGAGGUGGAAUUCCACGUGUAGCAGUGAAAUGCGUAGAGAUGUGGAGGAACACCGAUGGCGGAGGCAGCCUCCUGGGAUGACACUGACGCUCAUACACGAAAGCGUGGGGAGCAAACAGG